CUUAACACAUGCAAGUCGAGGGGAAACGACAUCGAAAGUUUGCUUUUGAUGGGCGUCGACCGGCGCACGGGUGAGUAACGCGUAUCCAACCUGCCCAUCACUUGGGGAUAACCUUGCGAAAGUAAGACUAAUACCCAAUGACGUCUCUAGAAGACAUCUGAAAGAGAUUAAAGAUUUAUCGGUGAUGGAUGGGGAUGCGUCUGAUUAGCUUGUUGGCGGGGUAACGGCCCACCAAGGCGACGAUCAGUAGGGGUUCUGAGAGGAAGGUCCCCCACAUUGGAACUGAGACACGGUCCAAACUCCUACGGGAGGCAGCAGUGAGGAAUAUUGGUCAAUGGGCGAGAGCCUGAACCAGCCAAGUAGCGUGCAGGAUGACGGCCCUAUGGGUUGUAAACUGCUUUUAUAAGGGAAUAAAGUGAGUCUCGUGAGACUUUUUGCAUGUACCUUAUGAAUAAGGACCGGCUAAUUCCGUGCCAGCAGCCGCGGUAAUACGGAAGGUCCGGGCGUUAUCCGGAUUUAUUGGGUUUAAAGGGAGCGUAGGCCGGAGAUUAAGCGUGUUGUGAAAUGUAGACGCUCAACGUCUGCACUGCAGCGCGAACUGGUUUCCUUGAGUACGCACAAAGUGGGCGGAAUUCGUGGUGUAGCGGUGAAAUGCUUAGAUAUCACGAAGAACUCCGAUUGCGAAGGCAGCUCACUGGAGCGCAACUGACGCUGAAGCUCGAAAGUGCGGGUAUCGAACAGGAUUAGAUACCCUGGUAGUCCGCACGGUAAACGAUGGAUGCCCGCUGUUGGUCUGAAUAGGUCAG
rnacentral:rRNA from 1 species